UAGGGAAUCUUCCACAAUGGACGCAAGUCUGAUGGAGCAACGCCGCGUGAGUGAAGAAGGUUUUCGGAUCGUAAAACUCUGUUGUUAGAGAAGAACGUGUGUGAGAGUAACUGUUCAUGCAGUGACGGUAUCUAACCAGAAAGCCACGGCUAACUACGUGCCAGCAGCCGCGGUAAUACGUAGGGUGCAAGCGUUAUCCGGAAUUAUUGGGCGUAAAGAGCUCGUAGGCGGUUUGUCGCGUCUGGUGUGAAAGUCCAUCGCUUAACGGUGGAUCUGCGCCGGGUACGGGCAGGCUGGAGUGCAGUAGGGGAGACUGGAAUUCCCGGUGUAACGGUGGAAUGUGUAGAUAUCGGGAAGAACACCAAUGGCGAAGGCAGGUCUCUGGGCUGUUACUGACGCUGAGGAGCGAAAGCGUGGGGAGCGAACAGGAUUAGAUACCCUGGUAGUCCACGCCGUAAACGGUGGAUGCUGGAUGUGGGGCCCAUUCCACGGGUUCCGUGUCGGAGCUAACGCGUUAAGCAUCCCGCCUGGGGAGUACGGCCGCAAGGCUG
rnacentral:rRNA from 1 species